rnacentral:tRNA from 1 species
CGGGACUGACGGGGCCGAACCCGCAGCUCCGC